rnacentral:misc_RNA from 1 species
GGGUAUGUGGGAGUGUAUCGACUUUUAUCCGGUGUCUACCAACUCUGAAGUGGGACUGGACACCUCGGUGCCACCUGGACCAUCGGUGCGGCAUGUGCUAAAGGCUAGUCUGGACGACGACAAGCACGACUACUACGCCAUCGGUACAUAUGACCCGGUAACCGAAAAGUGGGUACCUGAUGAUAUCGAGGCUGAUGUGGGGAUCGGCUUGCGGUAUGACUAUGGGAAGUAUUAUGCAUCAAAGACGUUUUUCGAUACGGCAAAAAGGCGACGGGUGCUGUGGGGGUGGACUGGUGAGACUGAUAGUGAGCAGACUGACCUUCUCAAGGGUUGGGCUUCAGUAAUGACAAUUCCUAGAACGGUUUUAUUCGAUCAAAAGACAGGGAGCAACCUGCUUCAGUGGCCAGUAGAGGAGGUUGAGAGCCUAAGGCUGAGCAGUCAGGACUUCAAGAACAUCAAUAUCGGUAUCGGAUCAGUGGUACCGCUAAAUAUCAGCAGAGCAACACAGUUGGACAUUGUCACGGAGUUCGAGAUAGAAGGGAAAUCAUUGACAGCGAUGGUUGAGACCGAUAUAGGGUACAAUUGCAGCACUAGUGGCGGUGCGGCUGGACGGGGUGUGCUCGGGCCAUUUGGUUUCCUGGUGCUAUCUGAUCUGGACUUAUCUGAACAGACUGCUGUUUACUUCUAUGUUGCAAGGAAUGCGGAGGGAGAACUUGAAACUUUUUUCUGCCAGGAUGAACUAAGGUCAUCGAAGGCUGAUGAUAUUGUCAAGAGAGUGUAUGGUAGCACCGUGCCGGUGCUCAGUGGUGAAAUUUUGACAGUGAGAAUACUUGUGGAUCACUCGAUAGUGGAGAGCUUCGCUCAAGGUGGGAGGACAUGCAUCACAUCACGCAUUUACCCAACAAAGGCGAUCGAUGCUGCUGCCAAACUCUUCCUCUUCAACAAUGGCACCGGGGCAAUGGUGACCGCCAAAUCAAUCAAGAUAUGGCAGAUGAACUCUGCAUUCAUCCGUCCGUUCCUCUUGGAAGCUUAAAAUUGGAUGAAAUAUUCUCCCCAACGAAACCCUAGCCGCCCAC